rnacentral:rRNA from 1 species
UACGUAGGGUGCGAGCGUUGUCCGGAAUUAUUGGGCGUAAAGGGCUCGUAGGCGGUCUGUCACGUCGAAAGUGAAAACUCAGGGCUUAACCCGUGAGCCCUGCUUCCGAUACGGGCAGACUAGAGGUAUGCAGGGGAGAAUGGAAUUCCUGGUGUAGCGGUGAAAUGCGCAGAUAUCAGGAGGAACACCAGUGGCGAAGGCGGUUCUCUGGGCAUUACCUGACGCUGAGGAGCGAAAGUGUGGGGAGCGAACAGG